rnacentral:rRNA from 1 species
GAUGAACGCUGGCGGCGUGCCUAAUACAUGCAAGUCGAGCGAACGGACGAGAAGCUUGCUUCUCUGAUGUUAGCGGCGGACGGGUGAGUAACACAUGGAUAACCUACCUAUAAGACUGGGAUAACUUCGGGAAACCGGAGCUAAUACCGGAUAAUAUUUUGAACCGCAUGGUUCAAAAGUGAAAGACGGUCUUGCUGUCACUUAUAGAUGGAUCCGCGCUGCAUUAGCUAGUUGGUAAGGUAACGGCUUACCAAGGCAACGAUGCAUAGCCGACCUGAGAGGGUGAUCGGCCACACUGGAACUGAGACACGGUCCAGACUCCUACGGGAGGCAGCAGUAGGGAAUCUUCCGCAAUGGGCGAAAGCCUGACGGAGCAACGCCGCGUGAGUGAUGAAGGUCUUCGGAUCGUAAAACUCUGUUAUUAGGGAAGAACAUAUGUGUAAGUAACUGUGCACAUCUUGACGGUACCUAAUCAGAAAGCCACGGCUAACUACGUGCCAGCAGCCGCGGUAAUACGUAGGUGGCAAGCGUUAUCCGGAAUUAUUGGGCGUAAAGCGCGCGUAGGCGGUUUUUUAAGUCUGAUGUGAAAGCCCACGGCUCAACCGUGGAGGGUCAUUGGAAACUGGAAAACUUGAGUGCAGAAGAGGAAAGUGGAAUUCCAUGUGUAGCGGUGAAAUGCGCAGAGAUAUGGAGGAACACCAGUGGCGAAGGCGACUUUCUGAUCUGUGACUGACGCUGAUGUGCGAAAGCGUGGGGAUCAAACAGGAUUAGAUACCCUGGUAGUCCACGCCGUAAACGAUGAGUGCUAAGUGUUAGGGGGUUUCCGCCCCUUAGUGCUGCAGCUAACGCAUUAAGCACUCCGCCUGGGGAGUACGACCGCAAGGUUGAAACUCAAAGGAAUUGACGGGGACCCGCACAAGCGGUGGAGCAUGUGGUUUAAUUCGAAGCAACGCGAAGAACCUUACCAAAUCUUGACAUCCUUUGACAACUCUAGAGAUAGAGCCUUCCCCUUCGGGGGACAAAGUGACAGGUGGUGCAUGGUUGUCGUCAGCUCGUGUCGUGAGAUGUUGGGUUAAGUCCCGCAACGAGCGCAACCCUUAAGCUUAGUUGCCAUCAUUAAGUUGGGCACUCUAAGUUGACUGCCGGUGACAAACCGGAGGAAGGUGGGGAUGACGUCAAAUCAUCAUGCCCCUUAUGAUUUGGGCUACACACGUGCUACAAUGGACAAUACAAAGGGCAGCGAAACCGCGAGGUCAAGCAAAUCCCAUAAAGUUGUUCUCAGUUCGGAUUGUAGUCUGCAACUCGACUACAUGAAGCUGGAAUCGCUAGUAAUCGUAGAUCAGCAUGCUACGGUGAAUACGUUCCCGGGUCU